rnacentral:rRNA from 1 species
AGUGAACGCUGGCGGUAGGCCUAACACAUGCAAGUCGAACGGCAGCACAGUCAGAGCUUGCUCUUAUGGGUGUCGAGUGGCGGACGGGUGAGGAAUACAUCGGAAUCUACUUUUUCGUGGCGGAUAACGUAGGGAAACUUACUCUAAUACCGCAUACGACCUACGGGUGAAAGCAGGGGAUCUUCGGACCUUGCGCGAUUGAAUGAGCCGAUGUCGGAUUAGCUUGUUGGCGGGGUAAAGGCCCACUAAGGCGACGAUCCGUAGCUGGUCUGAGAGGGUGAUCGGCCACACUGGAACUGAGACACGGUCCAGACUCCUACGGGAGGCAGCAGUGGGAAAUGUUGGACAAUGGGCGCAAGCCUGAUCCAGCCAUACCGCGUGGGUGAAGAAGGCCUUCGGGUUGUAAAGCCCUUUUGUUGGGAAAGAAAAGCAGCAGGUUAAUACCCCGCUGUUCUGACGGUACCCAAAGAAGAAGCACCGGCUAACUUCGUG